GUUUAUUUGAAGAUAUAAAUAAUUUGGCCUGCCCCCUGAAUAUAAAUUAAAGGGCCGCAGUAUUAUAACUGUGCAAAGGUAGCAUAAUCAUUAGGUUUUUAAUUGGAAUCUUGUAUGAAUGGUUGAACAAAAGAAAAGCUCUCUUUAUACUAAUUUUUGAAUUUAACUUUUAAGUGAAAAGGCUUAAAUAUACUAAAGGGACGAUAAGACCCUAUAAAACUUAACAUUGUAAUUAUAUUUUAGUCAAUUUAAAAAUAAAUAUAUAAUUUAAUUAUUUGUUAGGCUGGGGAGGCGUAAAUAAAUAUUAUUUUAACUGUUUAAUAAUUAUACAAUUAUUAAUGGAUUAAUAGAUCCUUUAUAAAGAUUAAUAGAUUAAGUUACUUUAGGGAUAACAGCGUAAUUUCUUUUGAGAGUUCUUAUCGAAAAAGAAGAUUGCGACCUCGAUGUUGAAUUAAAUAUUCUAUAUAGUGGAGAAAUUAUAUAAGAAGGUCUGUUCGACCUUUAAAAAUUUACAUGAUUUGAGUUCAAACCGGUGUGAG
rnacentral:rRNA from 1 species